rnacentral:tRNA from 1 species
ACUUCCAAAGGACAGAAGUAAUCC